GAAGCCCCGGCACCCUUUGGG
rnacentral:tRNA from 1 species